rnacentral:misc_RNA from 1 species
UUGUACUUCAACCUCAAACCCCUAGGAACCCAUAAGUUGGAACUGUAAAAGCCUAGACAAUUAAAGAGUUCCCCUAUACCCUUAGCCUACCUCAAUCGAGUAUAUGCACAAGAAAAUUGAAAUCCUAAAGAACUUGAAAUAUAAAUACUGACAGAAAACUAAUAUGAUUCAGGACCUUAGACAGGUUCACAAUCACAAAGAAGAUACAUAUUGGAUCCAAUUAGGACGUGUAAUAGAGGAAAAUUUGAGAGGAGG